rnacentral:rRNA from 1 species
CCUACGGGAGACAGCAGUGAGGAAUAUUGGUCAAUGGGCGCGAGCCUGAACCAGCCAAGUAGCGUGAAGGAUGACUGCCCUACGGGUUGUAAACUUCUUUUAUAAAGGAAUAAAGUGAGGCACGUGUGCCUUUUUGUAUGUACUUUAUAAAUAAGGAUCGGCUAACUCCGUGCCAGCAGCCGCGGUAAUACGGAGGAUCCGAGCGUUAUCCGGGUUUAUUGGGGUUAAAGGGAGCGUAGAUGGGUUGUUAAGUCAGGUGUGAAAGUUUGCGGCUCAACCGUAAAAUUGCAAUUGAUACUGGCAGCCUUGAGUACAGUUGAGGUAGGCGGAAUGCGUGGUGUAGCGGUGAAAUGCUUAGAUAUCACGAAGAACUCCGAUUGCGAAGGCAGCUUACUAAACUGCCACUGACAUUGAUGCUCGAAAGUGUGGGUAUCAAACAGGAUUAGAUACCCUUGUAGUC